AGAGUGCGGUAGGGGAGACUGGAAUUCCUGGUGUAGCGGUGGAAUGCGCAGAUAUCAGGAGGAACACCGAUGGCGAAGGCAGGUCUCUGGGCCGCAACUGACGCUGAGGAGCGAAAGCAUGGGGAGCGAACAGGAUUAGAUACCCUGGUAGUCCAUGCCGUAAACGUUGGGCACUAGGUGUGGGGCUCAUUCCACGAGUUCCGUGCCGCAGCUAACGCAUUAAGUGCCCCGCCUGGGGAGUACGGCCGCAAGGCUAAAACUCAAAGGAAUUGACGGGGGCCCGCACAAGCGGCGGAGCAUGCGGAUUAAUUCGAUGCAACGCGAAGAACCUUACCAAGGCUUGACAUGCACCGGACGCUGCCAGAGAUGGUGGUUCCGCAAGGUCGGUGCACAGGUGGUGCAUGGUUGUCGUCAGCUCGUGUCGUGAGAUGUUGGGUUAAGUCCCGCAACGAGCGCAACCCUUGUCCUAUGUUGCCAGCGGGUUAUGCCGGGGACUCAUGGGAGACUGCCGGGGUCAACUCGGAGGAAGGCGGGGAUGACGUCAAAUCAUCAUGCCCCUUAUGUCUUGGGCUUCACGCAUGCUACAAUGGCCGGUACAGAGGGCUGCGAUACCGUAAGGUGGAGCGAAUCCCAAAAAGCCGGUCUCAGUUCGGAUUGGGGUCUGCAACUCGACCCCAUGAAGUCGGAGUCGCUAGUAAUCGCAGAUCAGCAACGCUGCGGUGAAUACGUUCCCGGGCCUUGUACACACCGCCCGUCAAGUCACGAAAGUUGGUAACACCCGAAGCUCAUGGCCCAACCGGUUUCCGGGGGGAGUGUCGAUAUAGGACCCGGCAAGUUC
rnacentral:rRNA from 1 species